rnacentral:lncRNA from 10 species
AUGCAAAAUGAGGCAGAACUUAGCUUGUCACAUAGGUGUAUUCUUCCUGGAACCGAUGCGGGGUCAGAAAACUGAUGGCUUUUAAGCAAGCUGGACGGGUCCUCUCAGCGCAUUCCCCCACCCGCCUGGCGCCAAUGGAGCUGGCCUGGCCCGCCCAGCCCCUCCCCGCCCCGUCCGCGCUCGGACCGGACUUUCAGGACUGCAGGGGAAAGGGUGGACACCCAGCCUCCCGCCAGGAGGAUACAAAAAUACAUCAGUUUGCAAACCAGAAGAAGGUCCUCACCAGAAACCAACUAUGCUGGCACCCUGAUCUUGGACUUCUAGCCUCCAGAACUGUGAGAAAUAAAUGUGUGUUUAUAAACCAGUCAGUCAGUCUAUGGUGCUUUAUUAUAGCAUCUGGAACGAGCUAAGACAGCUGCUAAGUAGCAUUCCAUUUGACAAGGAAGACUUACCAUUCACACUACUUCUGAGUUCAAUGAAAGAGAGGCUCGAUUUCUUUUCCUGCCUGCACUUUCUUUGAGGUUGCAGUAGAGAGUGUGUGUCUACAGAAG